rnacentral:piRNA from 1 species
UCACAUACAAGGCGCGGCUUA